GUUUGCCCACACUGACUGAGGAAUAUCUGAGAGGAAUAUCUGAGAGGAACUAAACUCUUGCCCAUGAGAAAUAUUUGGAAAGAAGGGACCAAGAAAGUAAAGCUAAAUGAGUGUGAGACAACAAUAGCUCAUCUGUGUCCUCUGUGCUGUCCUGAGAACCUGCUUCCGUUUUAAAGUGGAAGAAAGAAGCUUCUUAAUGACUAGAAAGGCUCAUCUUCUUUUCCCAAUGGCAUCUGCAAAUUAUACUUUCAUGCUGCUUGCAGACUAUGCUGUAUUAGAGAGAAUACAGUCAGACUUGGCUGAUCAAGCUUAGUGCAGCCUUAUGUUUGUG